rnacentral:rRNA from 1 species
AUUCCAGCUCCAAUAGCGUAUAUUAAAGUUGUUGCAGUUAGAACGCUCGUAGUCGGAUUUCGGGGCAGUCCGACCGGUCUGCCGAUGGGUAUGCACUGGCCGGAGUGUCCUUUUUGCCGGAGACCGUGCCUACUCUUAACUGAGCGGGGGCGGGAGACGGCACUUUUACUUUGAAAAAAUCAGAGUGUUUCAAGCAGGCAGCUCGCUCUUGCAUGGAUUAGCAUGGGAUAAUGAAAUAGGACUUUGGUGCUAUUUUGUUGGUUUCGAACACCGAAGUAAUGAUGAGAAGGGACAGUCAGGGGCACUCGUAUUCCGCAGAGAGAGGUGAAAUUCUCAGACCCGCGGAAGACGAACCACUGCGAAAGCAUUUGCCAGGGAUGUUUUCAUUA